rnacentral:tRNA from 1 species
GCGAAAGUGUCGGAACUGGCAGACGAGCAAGACUAAGGAUCUUGUGCUGGCAACAGCGUGUGGGUUCAAGUCCCAUCUUUCGCA